rnacentral:rRNA from 1 species
GAUGAACGCUGGCGGCGUGCCUAAUACAUGCAAGUCGAGCGAACAGACGAGGAGCUUGCUCCUCUGACGUUAGCGGCGGACGGGUGAGUAACACGUGGAUAACCUACCUAUAAGACUGGGAUAACUUCGGGAAACCGGAGCUAAUACCGGAUAAUAUAUUGAACCGCAUGGUUCAAUAGUGAAAGACGGUUUUGCUGUCACUUAUAGAUGGAUCCGCGCCGCAUUAGCUAGUUGGUAAGGUAACGGCUUACCAAGGCGACGAUGCGUAGCCGACCUGAGAGGGUGAUCGGCCACCCUGGAACUGAGACACGGUCCAGACUCCUACGAGAGGCAGCAGUCGGGACUCUUCCGCCAUGGGCGAAAGCCUGACGGAGCAACGCCGCGUGAGUGAUGAAGGUGUUCGGAUCGUAAAACUCUGUUAGUAGGGAAGAACAAAUGUGUAAGUAACUAUGCACGUCUUGACGGUACCUAAUCAGAAAGCCACGGCUAACUACGUG